CGGUAAUACGUAGGUGGCAAGCGUUGUCCGGAUUUAUUGGGCGUAAAGCGAGCGCAGGCGGUUUUUUAAGUCUGAUGUGAAAGCUUUCGGCUUAACCGGAGAAGUGCAUCGGAAACUGGGAGACUUGAGUGCAGAAGAGGACAGUGGAACUCCAUGUGUAGCGGUGGAAUGCGUAGAUAUAUGGAAGAACACCAGUGGCGAAGGCGGCUGUCUAGUCUGUAACUGACGCUGAGGCUCGAAAGCAUGGGUAGCGAACAGGAUUAGAUACCCUGGUAGUCCAUGCCGUAAACGAUGAGUGCUAAGUGUUGGAGGGUUUCCGCCCUUCAGUGCUGCAGCUAACGCAUUAAGCACUCCGCCUGGGGAGUACGACCGCAAGGUUGAAACUCAAAGGAAUUGACGGGGGCCCGCACAAGCGGUGGAGCAUGUGGUUUAAUUCGAAGCUACGCGAAGAACCUUACCAGGUCUUGACAUCUUCUGCCAAUCUUAGAGAUAAGACGUUCCCUUCGGGGACAGAAUGACAGGUGGUGCAUGGUUGUCGUCAGCUCGUGUCGUGAGAUGUUGGGUUAAGUCCCGCAACGAGCGCAACCCUUAUUAUCAGUUGCCAGCAUUCAGUUGGGCACUCUGGUGAGACUGCCGGUGACAAACCGGAGGAAGGUGGGGAUGACGUCAAAUCAUCAUGCCCCUUAUGACCUGGGCUACACACGUGCUACAAUGGACGGUACAACGAGUCGCGAAGUCGUGAGGCUAAGCUAAUCUCUUAAAGCCGUUCUCAGUUCGGAUUGUAGGCUGCAACUCGCCUACAUGAAGUUGGAAUCGCUAGUAAUCGCGGAUCAGCAUGCCGCGGUGAAUACGUUCCCGGGCCUUGUACACACCGCCCGUCACACCAUGAGAGUUUGUAACACCCAAAGCCGGUGAGAUAACC
rnacentral:rRNA from 2 species